rnacentral:rRNA from 1 species
UAGUAACGGCGAGUGAAGCGGGAUGAGCUCAAAUUUAAAAUCUGGCUGGUUUACUAGUCCGAAUUGUAGUUUAUAGAAGCGUUUUCGGUGGCAGCCUGGGUAUAAGUCCUUUGGAAUAGGGCAUCAUAGAGGGUGAGAAUCCCGUCUUUGACUCAGUGCAUGCUACUAUGUGAUACGUUUUCAAAGAGUCGAGUUGUUUGGGAAUGCAGCUCAAAAUGGGUGGUAAAUUUCAUCUAAAGCUAAAUAUUGGCGAGAGACCGAUAGCGAACAAGUACCGUGAGGGAAAGAUGAAAAGAACUUUGAAAAGAGAGUUAAACAGUGCGUGAAAUUGUUGAAAGGGAAACGCUUGACACCAGUUAUGCGGGUGGAAAAUCAGUCUUUUGCAAUGGGGAGUUGUGGGCGUUCAGACCGCAAGGCUGGCGUUUGCUUCAUCUUUGUUGUAAGUGAUGCACUUUUUCAUUUGCAGGUCAACAUCAGUUUGCUUUGCUGGACAAAACUCCAAGGGAAGGUGACAGCUUAGGCUGUGUUAUAGCCCUGGAGCGAUACAGUGGAGUGGACUGAGGUUUCGCAGUGUGUGCUUUUAGCAAGGCUGACUGGGUGCUAUGGGAUCGUUCGGCGUACAAUGCAUGCAUUUUGCGUCGUGUCUUUUUCAUACUCGCUCAACUCGGCUCUUCCACGCUUAGGAUGUUGACUUAAUGGUUUUAAUCGACCCGUCUUGAAACACGGACCAAGGAGUCUAACAUAUAUGCAAGUGUUUGGGUGGCAAACCCAUGCGCGUAAUGAAAGUGAACGUAGGUGCCAUCCGCAAGGUGCAGCAUCGACCGAUCUUGAUAUUUUUGGAUAGAUUUGAGUAAGAGCAUAUAUGCUGGGACCCGAAAGAUGGUGAACUAUGCCUGAAUAGGGUGAAGCCAGAGGAAACUCUGGUGGAGGCUCGUAGCGAUUCUGACGUGCAAAUCGAUCGUCAAAUUUGGGUAUAGGGGCGAAAGACUAAUCGAA